ensembl:snoRNA SNORA70 Small nucleolar RNA SNORA70
CAACAAAUUAAAACAACCCAAUUAUCUCAGUGUGGAGCUGGUGUUCAAUGAUUACACACAGCAUUUCCCUAGUUUUAUAUGCAUUUUCUUCUUCAUACAGGGUAAAACAAGGGACCUCAGAAACACUU